CAGCCGCCGCGGUAAAACGUAGGUGGCAAGCGUUGUCCGGAAUUAUUGGGCGUAAAGCGCGCGCAGGUGGUUUAAUAAGUCUGAUGUGAAAGCCCACGGCUCAACCGUGGAGGGUCAUUGGAAACUGUUAAACUUGAGUGCAGGAGAGAAAAGUGGAAUUCCUAGUGUAGCGGUGAAAUGCGUAGAGAUUAGGAGGAACACCAGUGGCGAAGGCGGCUUUUUGGCCUGUAACUGACACUGAGGCGCGAAAGCGUGGGGAGCAAACAGGAUUAGAGACCCCAGUAGUCCCUGUCUCUUAUAC
rnacentral:rRNA from 1 species